CCUANGGGGGGCAGCAAUUAGGAAUCUUGCGCAAUGGGCGAAAGCCUGACGCAGCGACGCCGCGUGAAGGAUGAAGGCCUUCGGGUUGUAAACUUCUUUUGUCAGGGAAGAAGGAAGUGACGGUACCUCCAAAGGAAGCGCCGGCUAACUCCGUGCCAGCAGCCGCGGUAAUACGGAGGGCGCGAGCGUUAUUCGGAAUCAUUGGGCGUAAAGCGCGUGUAGGCGGCUGGGUAAGUCGGGUGUGAAAGCCCGGGGCUCAACCCCGGAACUGCAUUCGAAACUACCUAGCUGGAGUCUCGGAGAGGAGGGCGGAAUUCCCGGUGUAGAGGUGAAAUUCGUAGAUAUCGGGAGGAACACCAGUGGCGAAGGCGGCCCUCUGGACGAUGACUGACGCUGAGACGCGAAAGCGUGGGUAGCAAACAGGAUUAGAUACCCGUNUANUC
rnacentral:rRNA from 1 species